GACGAACGCUGGCGGCGUGCUUAACACAUGCAAGUCGAACGGAAAGGCCCUGCUUUUGUGGGGUGCUCGAGUGGCGAACGGGUGAGUAACACGUGAGUAACCUGCCCUUGACUUUGGGAUAACUUCAGGAAACUGGGGCUAAUACCGGAUAGGAGCUCCUGCUGCAUGGUGGGGGUUGGAAAGUUUCGGCGGUUGGGGAUGGACUCGCGGCUUAUCAGCUUGUUGGUGGGGUAGUGGCUUACCAAGGCUUUGACGGGUAGCCGGCCUGAGAGGGUGACCGGCCACAUUGGGACUGAGAUACGACCCAGACUCCUACGGGAGGCAGCAGUGGGGAAUAUUGCACAAUGGGCGGAAGCCUGAUGCAGCAACGCCGCGUGCGGGAUGACGGCCUGCGGGUUGUAAACCGCUUUCGCCUGUGACGAAGCGUGAGUGACGGUAAUGGGUAAAGAAGCACCGGCUAACUACGUG
rnacentral:rRNA from 1 species